GCAUUAAUGGGGUAGAGGUAACCUGGGUCUUCAAAGUCAAUGGGUACACCGCACUUCAAAGACCAACCGAGGGUUCAAAUCCCUCUUAAUGCA